rnacentral:rRNA from 1 species
UGGUGGGGACUCGUAAGAGACUGCCGGGGUCAACUCGGAGGAAGGUGGGGACGACGUCAAGUCAUCAUGCCCCUUAUGUCCAGGGCUUCACACAUGCUACAAUGGCCAGUACAGAGGGCUGCGAGACCGUGAGGUGGAGCGAAUCCCUUAAAGCUGGUCUCAGUUCGGAUCGGGGUCUGCAACUCGACCCCGUGAAGUCGGAGUCGCUAGUAAUCGUGGAUCAGCAUGCCACGGUGAAUACGUUCCCGGGCCUU